ACCUGGCUGGCUCAGUAGGAAGAGCAUGUGACUCUUAAUCUUUGGGUCAGGAGUUUGAGCCCCCUGUUGGGUG
rnacentral:tRNA from 1 species